AGCAUCAAUGGCCAAUCCAGUGGCAAUAGUGCUUAACAUUCCAAGAGCAGCCACAGCAAUGCCAUACAUGGCUGCAAAACUAAAACUAACAAAAAUACCAAUUGCUAUGGCAAAAAUUGGAAUGAUGACAGAUUUGUAUCCCAAGGCAAGACCAAAGAUGACAUUAGUUGCAGCCCCAGUCCUACAGGAAUCAGCAACAUCUUGCACAGGGCUAUAUGCAUUGCUAGUGUAGUACUCUGUAACAAAU
rnacentral:misc_RNA from 1 species